rnacentral:rRNA from 1 species
UACGUAGGGUGCGAGCGUUAAUCGGAAUUACUGGGCGUAAAGCGUGCGCAGGCGGUUUUGUAAGACAGGUGUGAAAUCCCCGGGCUUAACCUGGGAACUGCGCUUGUGACUGCAAGACUCGAGUACGGCAGAGGGGGGUAGAAUUCCACGUGUAGCAGUGAAAUGCGUAGAGAUCCGGAAGAACACCAGUGGCGAAGGCGGCCCGCUGGGCAGUGGCUGACGCUGAGGCGCGACAGCGUGGGGAGCAAACAGG